AGAGCGAACGCUGGCGGCAGGCCUAACACAUGCAAGUCGAACGGACCCUUCGGGGUUAGUGGCGGACGGGUGAGUAACACGUGGGAACGUGCCUUUUGGUUCGGAAUAGCUCCUGGAAACGGGUGGUAAUGCCGAAUGUGCCCUUCGGGGGAAAGAUUUAUCGCCAUUAGAGCGGCCCGCGUCUGAUUAGCUAGUUGGUGAGGUAAUGGCUCACCAAGGCGACGAUCAGUAGCUGGUCUGAGAGGAUGACCAGCCACACUGGGACUGAGACACGGCCCAAACUCCUACGGGAGGCAGCAGUGGGGAAUCUUGCGCAAUGGGCGAAAGCCUGACGCAGCCAUGCCGCGUGAAUGAUGAAGGUCUUAGGAUUAGUAAAAUUCUUUCGAACCGGGGACGAUAAGUGACGGUACCCGAGAACGAAGCCCGGACUAACUCGUAGCAGACAGCCGC
rnacentral:rRNA from 1 species